rnacentral:rRNA from 1 species
UCCUCCCUCUGGCGGCGUGCUUAACACAUGCAAGUCGAACGGAAAGGCCCUGCUUUUGUGGGGUGCUCGAGUGGCGAACGGGUGAGUAACACGUGAGUAACCUGCCCUUGACUUUGGGAUAACUUCAGGAAACUGGGGCUAAUACCGGAUAGGAGCUCCUGCUGCAUGGUGGGGGUUGGAAAGUUUCGGCGGUUGGGGAUGGACUCGCGGCUUAUCAGCUUGUUGGUGGGGUAGUGGCUUACCAAGGCUUUGACGGGUAGCCGGCCUGAGAGGGUGACCGGCCACAUUGGGACUGAGAUACGGCCCAGACUCCUACGGGAGGCAGCGGUGGGGAAUAUUGCACAAUGGGCGGAAGCCUGAUGCAGCAACGCCGCGUGCGGGAUGACGGCCUUCGGGUUGUAAACCGCUUUCGCCUGUGACGAAGCGUGAGUGACGGUAAUGGGUAAAGAAGCACCGGCUAACUACGUG